rnacentral:tRNA from 1 species
UCUGGGUAUAGCUUAACAGCAAAGCAUCUCCUUUACACCGAGAUAAUACUCGUGCAAAUCGGGUUACCUUGAA